rnacentral:pre_miRNA from 1 species
UUAAAAACGCCAUUGAGUGCAGCGUUGAUGAUAUUGCAUUUGUUCGAUCUCUUUAGUCCUGAUUUAUCGAUUGUUAUAUCGUCAAUGCUGCACUUAAUAACGUUUUUAA